rnacentral:rRNA from 1 species
GUACGCUGGCGGCACGCCUUAUACAUGCAAGUCGAACGAAGUAGCAAUACUUAGUGGCAGACGGGUGAGUAACAUGUGGGUAUCUUCCCUUUGGUGAGGAAUAACACUAGGAAACUUGUGCUAAUACCUCAUAAGUCUUUACGGAGAAAGCUUUAUGCGCCGAAGGAUGAGCCUGCACUUGAUUAGUUUGUUGGUAGGGUAACGGCCUACCAAGACUGUGAUCAAUAGCUGAUCUGAGAGGAUGAUCAGCCACAUUGGGACUGAGACACGGCCCAAACUCCUACGGGAGGCAGCAGUAGGGAAUAUUGCACAAUGGAGGAAACUCUGAUGCAGCGAUGCCGCGUGAGUGAAGAAGGCCUUUGGGUUGUAAAGCUCUUUCGUCGGGGAAGAAAAUGACUGUACCCGAAUAAGAAGGUCCGGCUAACUUCG